rnacentral:rRNA from 1 species
AGUGAACGCUGGCGGCGUGCCUAAUACAUGCAAGUCGAACGAAGUGGCGCACGGGUGAGUAAUAUAUAGUUAAUCUGCCCUACACAGAGGAACAACAGUUGGAAACGACGGCUAAUACCUCAUAGUGUAGGCUGAGACUAUAUCGUAUCAGCUAGUUGGUAAGGUAAUGGCUUACCAAGGCUAUGACGCGUAACUGGUCUGAGAGGAUGAUCAGUCAACUUGGAACUGAGGCACGGUCCAAACUCAUACGGGAGGGAGCGGUAAGGAAAAUUGCGCAAUGGGGGAAACCCUGAAGGAGCAUCGCGGCGUGGAGGAUGACACUCUGCGGAGAGUAAACUCCUUUUAUCAGGAAAGCGGUACCUGAUGAAUAAGCACCGGCUAACUUCGUGCCAGCAGCCGCGGUAAUUC